rnacentral:rRNA from 1 species
GUUGUAUGGUUAAGUGACUAAGCGUACACGGUGGAUGCCUUGGCAGUCAGAGGCGAUGAAGGACGUAUUAACUUGCGAUAAGCCCAGAUUAGGUAGUAAAAACCAUUUGAGUCUGGGAUUUCCGAAUGGGGAAACCCACUUGCAUAAGCAAGUAUCGCUGCGUGAAUACAUAGCGCAGCGAGGCGAACCGGGGGAACUGAAACAUCUAAGUACCCCGAGGAAAAGAAAUCAACCGAGAUUCCGAAAGUAGCGGCGAGCGAAAUUGGACUAGCCCUUAAGCUUUUUAUGCGUCAGGUGAAACUUCUGGAAAGUUGUGCGAUACAGGGUGAUAGCCCCGUAACCGGCAACGCAUAUAAAGUGAAAUCGAGUAGGGCGGGACACGUGAUAUCCUGUCUGAAUAUGGGGGGACCAUCCUCCAAGGCUAAAUACUACUGACUGACCGAUAGUGAACCAGUACCGUGAGGGAAAGGCGAAAAGAACCCCUGUGAGGGGAGUGAAAUAGAACCUGAAACCGUGUACGUACAAGCAGUAGGAGCACCUUCGUGGUGUGACUGCGUACCUUUUGUAUAAUGGGUCAGCGACUUAUAUUCAGUGGCAAGGUUAACCAUCUAGGGGAGCCGUAGCGAAAGCGAGUGUUAACUGCGCGACUCAGUCGCUGGAUAUAGACCCGAAACCAGGUGAUCUAGCCAUGGGCAGGUUGAAGAUUGAGUAACAUCAAUUGGAGGACCGAACCGACUAAUGUUGAAAAAUUAGCGGAUGACUUGUGGCUAGGGGUGAAAGGCCAAUCAAACCUGGAGAUAGCUGGUUCUCCCCGAAAGCUAUUUAGGUAGCGCCUCGGACGAAUACUACUGGGGGUAGAGCACUGUUAAGGCUAGGGGGUCAUCCCGACUUACCAACCCUUUGCAAACUCCGAAUACCAGUAAGUACUAUCCGGGAGACACACGGCGGGUGCUAACGUCCGUCGUGGAGAGGGAAACAACCCAGACCGCCAGCUAAGGUCCCAAAUUACUACUAAGUGGGAAACGAUGUGGGAAGGCUCAGACAGCCAGGAUGUUGGCUUAGAAGCAGCCAUCAUUUAAAGAAAGCGUAAUAGCUCACUGGUCGAGUCGGCCUGCGCGGAAGAUGUAACGGGGCUAAGUAGUAAACCGAAGCUGCGGCAAUGCACUUUGUGCAUUGGGUAGGGGAGCGUUCUGUAAGCGGUUGAAGGUGUGUGGUAACGCAUGCUGGACGUAUCAGAAGUGCGAAUGCUGACAUGAGUAACGAUAAAGGGGGUGAAAAACCUCCUCGCCGGAAGACCAAGGGUUCCUGUCCAACGUUAAUCGGGGCAGGGUAAGUCGACCCCUAAGGCGAGGCCGAAAGGCGUAGUCGAUGGGAAACGGGUUAAUAUUCCCGUACUUCUUACAAUUGCGAUGGGGGGACGGAGAAGGCUAGGUGGGCCUGGCGACGGUUGUCCAGGUUCAAGUGCGUAGGCUGAGAGAUUAGGUAAAUCCGGUUUCUCUUAAGGCUGAGACACGACGUCGAGCUACUACGGUAGUGAAGUCAUUGAUGCCAUGCUUCCAGGAAAAGCCUCUAAGCUUCAGAUUGUAAGGAAUCGUACCCCAAACCGACACAGGUGGUCGGGUAGAGAAUACCAAGGCGCUUGAGAGAACUCGGGUGAAGGAACUAGGCAAAAUGGUACCGUAACUUCGGGAGAAGGUACGCUCUUGAUGGUGAAGUCCCUUGCGGAUGGAGCUGACGAGAGUCGCAGAUACCAGGUGGCUGCAACUGUUUAUUAAAAACACAGCACUGUGCAAAUCGUAAGAUGACGUAUACGGUGUGACGCCUGCCCGGUGCCGGAAGGUUAAUUGAUGGGGUUAGACUUCGGUCGAAGCUCUUGAUCGAAGCCCCGGUAAACGGCGGCCGUAACUAUAACGGUCCUAAGGUAGCGAAAUUCCUUGUCGGGUAAGUUCCGACCUGCACGAAUGGCGUAAUGAUGGCCACGCUGUCUCCACCCGAGACUCAGUGAAAUUGAAAUCGCUGUGAAGAUGCAGUGUACCCGCGGCUAGACGGAAAGACCCCGUGAACCUUUACUACAGCUUGGCACUGAACAUUGACCCUACAUGUGUAGGAUAGGUGGGAGGCUUUGAAGCAAGUACGCCAGUAUUUGUGGAGCCGUCCUUGAAAUACCACCCUUGUAGUGUUGAUGUUCUAACGUUGACCCCUAAUCGGGGUUGCGGACAGUGCCUGGUGGGUAGUUUGACUGGGGCGGUCUCCUCCCAAAGAGUAACGGAGGAGCACGAAGGUGGGCUAAUCACGGUUGGACAUCGUGAGGUUAGUGCAAUGGCAUAAGCCCGCUUGACUGCGAGAAUGACAAUUCGAGCAGGUGCGAAAGCAGGUCAUAGUGAUCCGGUGGUUCUGAAUGGAAGGGCCAUCGCUCAACGGAUAAAAGGUACUCCGGGGAUAACAGGCUGAUACCGCCCAAGAGUUCAUAUCGACGGCGGUGUUUGGCACCUCGAUGUCGGCUCAUCACAUCCUGGGGCUGAAGUCGGUCCCAAGGGUAUGGCUGUUCGCCAUUUAAAGUGGUACGCGAGCUGGGUUUAGAACGUCGUGAGACAGUUCGGUCCCUAUCUGCCGUGGGCGUUGGAAGAUUGAAGGGGGCUGCUCCUAGUACGAGAGGACCGGAGUGGACGAACCUCUGGUGUUCGGGUUGUGUCGCCAGACGCAUUGCCCGGUAGCUAAGUUCGGAAUCGAUAACCGCUGAAAGCAUCUAAGCGGGAAGCGAGCCCUGAGAUGAGUCUUCCCUGAUACUUUAAGUAUCCUAAAGGGUUGUUCGAAGACUAGAACGUUGAUAGGCAGGGUGUGUAAGCGUUGUGAGGCGUUGAGCUAACCUGUACUAAUUGCCCGUGAGGCUUAACCAUACAACACCCAAGGGGUUU